rnacentral:rRNA from 1 species
CAAGUACCGUGAGGGAAAGAUGAAAAGCACUUUGGAAAGAGAGUUAAACAGUAUGUGAAAUUGUUAGAAGGGAAACGAUUGAAGUCAGUCAUGUCUUCUGGACUCAGCCGGUUCUUCCGGUGUACUUCCAGUCGACGGGGUCAACAUCAGUUUUGCUCGGUGGAUAAGGGCUGGAGGAAGGUAGCACCCCCGGGUGAACAUAUAGCCUCCUGUCGCAUACGCCGGGUGGGACUGAGGAAUGCAGCAUGCCUUUCGGCCGGGGUUCGCCCACGUACGUGCUUAGGAUGUUGAUAUAAUGGCUUUAAACGACCCGUCUUGAAACACGGACCAAGGAGUCUAACAUAUCUGCGAGUAUUUGGGUGUUAAACCCGGGUGCGCAAUGAAAGUGAAUGUAGGAGGGACCCGCGAGGAGCACCUUCGACCGAUCUGGAUCUUUAGUGAUGGAUUUGAGUGAGAGCAUAUAUGUUGGGACCCGAAAGAUGGUGAACUAUGCCUGAAUAGGGCGAAGCCAGAGGAAACUCUGGUGGAGGCUCGUAGCGAUUCUGACGUGCAAAUCGAUCGUCAAAUUUGGGUAUAGGGGCGAAAGACUAAUCGAACCAUCUAGUAGCUGGUUCCUGCCRAAGUUU